rnacentral:rRNA from 1 species
AUGAACGCUGACAGAAUGCUUAACACAUGCAAGUCUUUGGCGAAGCUGUGCUUGCACAGCCUAGCCAAGGCGGACGGGUGAGUAACGCGUAAGGAACUUGCCCUGCAGUCAGGGAUAACAGACGGAAACGACUGAUAAGACCUGGUAAAGUCAGGCGGACUCAUGUCCAGCCUGAUGAAAAGAGAUGCUGCAGGAGAGCCUUGCGUCCUAUUAGCUUGUUGGUGGGGUAACGGCCCACCAAGGCGAUGAUAGGUAGCCGGCCUGAGAGGGUGGACGGCCACAAGGGGACUGAGAUACGGCCCUUACUCCUACGGGAGGCAGCAGUGGGGAAUAUUGGACAAUGGGGGCAACCCUGAUCCAGCAAUGCUGUGUGCACGAUGAAGGUUUUCGGAUUGUAAAGUGCUUUCAGCAGGGAAGAAAAAAUGACGGUACCUGCAGAAGAAGCGACGGCUAAAUACGUG